UACAGAGGGUGCGAGCGUUAAUCGGAAUUAUUGGGCGUAAAGGGCGCGUAGGCGGUUUGGUAGGUCCGCUGUGAAAACUCGAGCUCAACCUCGAGACGCCGGUGGAAACCAUCAGACUAGAGUCCGGAAGAGGAGAGUGGAAUUCCUGGUGUAGCGGUGAAAUGCGCAGAUAUCAGGAAGAACACCCGUGGCUAAGGCGGCUCUCUAGUACGGUACUGACGCUGAGACGCGAAAGCGUGGGGAGCGAACAGG
rnacentral:rRNA from 1 species